CCUCGUGCGGAUCCGAAGUUUAUAUACCAUUGCAGUUGAAUGACGGUUUAUAUUGUAUAUGUAUACCGGAAAUAUCUAAUAUAGUUUGUCAAUCCUUAUUAAAAUUCUACUAGCAGACCAAUAAGAAAUUAUUUGAACAAAAAUAUACCGAGUUAAAAAUAAUACUACCUGAGAGACUCAGUCGGGCCUUUCGGCGAAAGCAGCAUUUUGCAAUCGCCUGGUGCGCGACUUUUCUUCAUGAAAUCAACUUAAUUUUAAAAUUUAUGGUUAGUUGUAUUGAGAUACUAACAUCAAAGAAUGGGUCAUUAUUUAAUGAACAAUAUUAUUUCUAUUAUAAUUUUGUGUUGUUAUAUAGAGCAGAAACCAAAUUUCGGUGUAAUUAGUGUGCUUCGAGUGUCGGUUAAAAUAAUUUAAGUCGAAACGGUCAUAUUGGGUUCAUAAUAAUGCGUCGUAUUUGUUUAUUAUUGUGAAAUGGUAAUGUUUUUAUGAAACAUAUUUUCAGUUCUGGCAGUAGUAGGAUUUGGAACGUCUUGAAGGAAAUCUUAAAGGAAGAGGCCGAUAUUGAUCGAAUUUAUUUCUGGUUUUGAUGCAAUUAACUUUCUGAUGCAAAUAACUUUCUGAUGCAAUUUAGCUUUCUGAAUUUUAACAAUCAAUUAACUUAACUGAUGCAAGAAAAUAAAAAUUUGUAUGUUCCAAAAGCCCUAUUUAAAUGAAA